rnacentral:rRNA from 1 species
UACGUAGGGUGCGAGCGUUAAUCGGAAUUACUGGGCGUAAAGCGUGCGCAGGCGGUUUUGUAAGCCAGAUGUGAAAUCCCCGGGCUUAACCUGGGAAUGGCAUUUGGGACUGCAAGGCUGGAGUACGGCAGAGGAGACUGGAAUUCCUGGUGUAGCAGUGAAAUGCGUAGAGAUCAGGAGGAAUACCGAUGGCGAAGGCAGGUCUCUGGGCUGAUACUGACGCUCAUGCACGAAAGCGUGGGGAGCAAACGAGG